rnacentral:pre_miRNA from 1 species
CUCGGAGGGUGGGAGGUGUCCUUCAGCCCGGAUUGUGAGAGGGCACAGGCCAUGCCGAGGGACCCCACCGGUGCACG